UACGUAGGGGGCAAGCGUUGUCCGGAUUUAUUGGGCGUAAAGAGCGUGUAGGCGGCCGUACAGGUCAGCUGUGAAAACUCGAGGCUUAACCUCGAGACGUCGAUGGAAACCGUAUGGCUAGAGUCCGGAAGAGGAGAGCGGAAUUCCUGGUGUAGCGGUGAAAUGCGCAGAUAUCAGGAAGAACACCCGUGGCGAAGGCGGCUCUCUGGGACGGUACUGACGCUGAGACGCGAAAGCGUGGGGAGCGAACAGG
rnacentral:rRNA from 1 species